rnacentral:rRNA from 1 species
UACGUAGGGUGCGAGCGUUGUCCGGAAUUAUUGGGCGUAAAGAGCUCGUAGGCGGUGUGUCACGUCGGCCGUGAAAACCUGCAGCUUAACUGUGGGCGUGCGGUCGAUACGGGCAUCACUGGAGUUCGGCAGGGGAGACUGGAAUUCCUGGUGUAGCGGUGAAAUGCGCAGAUAUCAGGAGGAACACCGGUGGCGAAGGCGGGUCUCUGGGCCGAUACUGACGCUGAGGAGCGAAAGCGUGUGGAGCGAACAGG